rnacentral:rRNA from 1 species
UUAGAUACCCUAUUAUACUAAUAGUGACCUAAAUUAUUAAUAGAUAUAUUCUUUAAAAUUGAAGAGUGUGGCGGUAGUUUAAUCUUAUUAGAGGAACCUGUUUUUCUAAUUCGAUACACCUCGUAGAAUCUUACUCAUUUUAUUAGUUUAUAUACCGUCAUUAUCAGAUGGUUUCGGAAGAAAAAAUCAUUAAGGUUUAUAGAUUAAUAUAAGUUAAAUUAGAUCAAGGUGUAGCUUAUAAAUGAGUUAAAAUGGGUUACAAUAAAAUUUAUUUAUAUGGAAUGAUUACAGAAAGGUGAUUAUAAAGGAGGAUUUGAUUGUAAUGUGAGUUUAAUAAGCUUAAAAGAAAUAAAGCACUAAACUAUGUACAUAUCGCCCGUCGCU